AGGUUUGAUCAUGGCUCAGAUUGAACGCUGGCGGCAUGCCUUACACAUGCAAGUCGAACGGCAGCACGGACUUCGGUCUGGUGGCGAGUGGCGAACGGGUGAGUAAUACAUCGGAACGUGUCCUGUAGUGGUGGAUAGCCCGGCGAAAGCCGGAUUAAUACCGCAUACGCUCUACGGAGGAAAGGGGGGGAUCUUCGGAC
rnacentral:rRNA from 1 species